UACAGAGGGUGCGAGCGUUGUCCGGAAUCACUGGGCGUAAAGGGCGCGUAGGCGGUGGCCUAAGCGUGCGGUGAAAGCCCGGGGCUCAACCCCGGGUCGGCCGUGCGAACUGGGUCACUCGAGCACACUAGAGGCGAGUGGAAUUCCGGGUGUAGCGGUGGAAUGCGUAGAGAUCCGGAAGAACACCAGUGGCGAAGGCGGCUCGCUGGGGUGUGGCUGACGCUGAGGCGCGACAGCGUGGGGAGCAAAC
rnacentral:rRNA from 1 species